rnacentral:antisense_RNA from 1 species
GCUCUAUUCCAGAAGCAGUCUGGAGCACAAAGAAUCCCUAAUCACUGACAUUAAGAAAGAAGAAAAAUAUUCCUAGGACGAUCCUGGAGAGCAAAGGUCAUCAGCAGUCACUUGACUUUCCUUGGAUUUCUCAACUGCAAUAGUCACAUGGUCUGCUGAAAAUGAAUUCUCUUUAUUUUCAUCUGAUUUCAAGGAAUUAUGGUUUUCAGUGAUUUCUUCAUUUGGAUCUAUUUUGAGACAGAGUAAUAGCAUUAAAACCCCCUUCUGAAUUAAUAAGGUAAGAUGGGCUUAAAAUCACUCAAUUCACUAUUGGAUUCUUUGGAGCUGUUAAUCUGUUCAGUGAAAAGAACAAGAACUUUGGAACUCAAGAUUUAACUAUGGUUCCAUCACUGACCUUGGGCAUUUGUUGCUGAAACGCAAAGUGUGACAAGCCAAUGGAGAGAAAGAAGAGACACACACAUGCAGAGAAAACACAGGGAAGAAGGCCACAUGGGAUGAAGGCAGAGAUGGGAAUGAUGCAGCUACAAGCCAGCUA